CGGGGGGCAGCAGCAGUGGGGAAUAUUGCACAAUGGGGGAAACCUUGAUGCAGCAACGCCGCGUGAAUGAUGAAGGCUUUUGGGUCGUAAAAUUCUGUUCUAAGGGAAGAAUAAAUGACGGUACCUUAGGAGCAAGCCCCGGCUAACUACGUGCCAGCAGCCGCGGUAAUACGUAGGGGGCGAGUGUUGUCCGGAAUCAUUGGGCGUAAAGGGUGCGUAGGCGGUUAUACAAGUUAGAGGUGAAAGGCUACGGCUCAACCGUAGUAAGCCUUUAAAACUGUAUGACUUGAGUGCAGGAGAGGAAAGUGGAAUUCCUAGUGUAGCGGUGAAAUGCGUAGAUAUUAGGAGGAACACCAGUGGCGAAGGCGACUUUCUGGACUGUAACUGACGCUGAGGCACGAAAGCGUGGGGAGCGAACAGGAUUAGAUACCCGCGUAGUC
rnacentral:rRNA from 1 species